AGGGGUCUGGGGGGUCGUGAGGGGCUUUGAGGGGUCUUGAAGGGCUUUGAUGGCCCGUGAGGAGCUGUGAGGUGUCGAGAAGGGGUUUGAAAGCUCGGAGGGGCUUUUAGGGGUCGUAAGGGGCUUUGAGUGAUCCUGAGUGGGGGUCUCGGGGACCGCCGCGAUGGUGGAGAAGGACGAGUCCAGCCCUGGCGGCAUCAGCGAGGAGGAGGCGGCUCAGUACGACCGGCAAAUCCGGCUCUGGGGGCUCGAGGCCCAGAAACGGUUACGGGCAUCGCGGGUGCUGCUGGUGGGGCUGCGUGGGCUGGGGGCCGAGGUGGC